rnacentral:rRNA from 1 species
UUGAAUGAAUUGAUUAUUGUAGUUAUUAAAUAAAAGUGUUUUUGUUUUUUUUAUUUUAGUAGAUUUAAGAAUUUAUAAUAUUUAUUAUAGUUUAAUUUUACAGUGAUGGGGGUUUGAAAGAAUUGAAAUGGUUUUUUUGUGGAAGAAAAAUGUUUGUACCUUUUGUAUCAGGGUUUAUUAAAAGUUAAUAAUUUAUUUUAUAAUCUCGAAUUAAGAAGAGCUAUUUGUUUAUUAUUAAUAUUGUUGUAAAAUUAUAUUUAAUUGAUGAGUGGUAGUGAUAUGUUAAUCGUUUUUUAUGAUAUCUAGUUUCUCAAGAUGGGAAUUUAAUUCUAAUAUUUAUUUAUAAUAUGGAUUUAUAUAUAUAUACAUAUAUAUAUAUAUAUAUAUAUAUAUAUAUGUGGUUUAUAUUAAUUUGAAUAUUUAUUGUUUUGGGGAUAAGCUUUAAAAUAAAAAUAAUUUAUGUUAGUGUAGUGAAUGUGGUCUUUAGGGUAGAUAUUAUUUGUGAGUUUGUUAAAAAUUGUUUAUGAAUUUAUUUAUAUUUAUAUUAAUUUUAUAUUGGGAUGAUGAAGGAAAUUUUGUUUUUAUUUAAUAAUGAUAGAAUUAGUAUAUAAAAUUGUUUAUUUAAUUAUUAUGGAUUAUUUAAUUUAAGGAAUUAGGCAAAUAUUGUUGUUCGCCUGUUUAUCAAAAACAUGUCUUUUUGAAUAAAUAAAAAGUCGUGCCUGCCCACUGAGGAAUUAAAUGGCCGCGGUAUUUUGACCGUGCAAAGGUAGCAUAAUCAUUAGUCUUUUAAUUGGAGGCUGGAAUGAAAGGUUUGACGAAGCAACUACUGUCUCGAUUUAAUAAUAUUGAAUUUUACUUUUAAGUCAAAAGGCUUAAAUAAUAAUAGGGGACGAGAAGACCCUAUAGAUCUUGAAAUGUUAUUAUGAUAUAUAAGUAUAUGGUUGUGUGAAGUUAUUAUUAUAAUUACAUUUUUGGUUGGGGUGACAGGAGAAUAGAAAAACUUCUUUAAUUUAAACUAUGAUAAUUGGUUUAUGGAUCCUAUUUUAUGGAAUAAAGAUGAAGAUACCUUAGGGAUAACAGCGUAAUUUUAUUGGAGAGUUCAUAUUGAUAAUGAAGAUUGCGACCUCGAUGUUGGAUUAAGAAUAUAAUUAGAUGCAGAAGUUUAAUUUAUUGGUCUGUUCGACCAUUAAAUUCUUACAUGAUCUGAGUUCAGACCGGCGUGAGCCAGGUUGGUUUCUAUCUCUAUUUAAAUUUAUAUAUUUUAGUACGAAAGGAUUAAGUAUAUUAAAAAUUUUAUUAAUUUGAAUAAUAUUAA